AGUCACGAGUUUGAUCCUGGCUCAGAACGAACGCUGGCGGCAUGCCUAACACAUGCAAGUCGAACGAGACCUUCGGGUCUAGUGGCGCACGGGUGCGUAACACGUGGGAAUUUGCCUCGGGGUAUGGAAUAACUCAGGGAAACUUGAGCUAAUACCAUAUAAUGUCUUCGGACCAAAGAUUUAUCGCCCUGAGAUAAGCCCGCGUAGGAUUAGCUAGUUGGUGGGGUAAAGGCUCACCAAGGCGACGAUCCUUAGCUGGUCUGAGAGGAUGAUCAGCCACACUGGGACUGAGACACGGCCCAGACUCCUACGGGAGGCAGCAGUGGGGGAAUAUUGGACAAUGGGCGAAAGCCUGAUCCAGCAAUGCCGCGUGAGUGAUGAAGGCCUUCGGGUUGUAAAGCUCUUUUACUCGGGACGAUAAUGACGGUACCGAGAGAAUAAGCCCCGGCUAACUCCGUG
rnacentral:rRNA from 1 species